rnacentral:rRNA from 1 species
AGAGUUUGAUCCUGGCUCAGGACGAACGCUGGCGGCGUGCUUAACACAUGCAAGUCGAACGGUAAGGCCCCUUCGGGGGUACACGAGUGGCGAACGGGUGAGUAACACGUGAGCAAUCUACCCCUGACUCUGGGAUAACAGUUGGAAACAGCUGCUAAUACCGGAUACGACCUCGGUGGGCAUCUACCGAGGUGGAAAGCUCCGGCGGUCAGGGAUGAGCUCGCGGCCUAUCAGCUAGUUGGUGAGGUAACGGCUCACCAAGGCGUCGACGGGUAGCCGGCCUGAGAGGGCGACCGGCCACACUGGGACUGAGAUACGGCCCAGACUCCUACGGGAGGCAGCAGUGGGGAAUAUUGCGCAAUGGGCGAAAGCCUGACGCAGCAACGCCGCGUGCGGGAAGACGGCCUUCGGGUUGUAAACCGCUUUCACCCGCGACGAAGUGAAAAUGACGGUAGCGGGAGAAGAAGCACCGGCCAACUACGUGCCAGCAGCCGCGGUGAUACGUAGGGUGCGAGCGUUGUCCGGAAUUAUUGGGCGUAAAGAGCUUGUAGGCGGUCUGUCGCGUCGAAAGUGAAAACUCAGGGCUCAACCCUGAGCCUGCUUUCGAUACGGGCAGACUAGAGGAAGGUAGGGGAGAACGGAAUUCUUGGUGGAGCGGUGGAAUGCGCAGAUAUCAGGAAGAACACCGGUGGCGAAGGCGGUUCUCUGGACCUUUCCUGACGCUGAGAAGCGAAAGCGUGGGGAGCAAACAGGCUUAGAUACCCUGGUAGUCCACGCCGUAAACGGUGGGUACUAGGUGUGGGGGACAUUCCACGUUCUCCGUGCCGUAGCUAACGCAUUAAGUACCCCGCCUGGGGAGUACGGCCGCAAGGCUAAAACUCAAAGGAAUUGACGGGGCCCCGCACAAGCGGCGGAGCAUGCGGAUUAAUUCGAUGCAACGCGAAGAACCUUA